ACUAGCGGAAAGAGAGGGAACAAGUUAUGGACUGAAUUCUGUCCCCCGAAAUCCACAUGGUGGAGUCCUAACCGCCGGUGCGCCUCAGAACGUAACUGUAUUUGCAAUGCAGACUUUAGAGAGGUGAUUGAGUUAAAUGAGGCCCUUACUGGGGCGCCUGGGUGGCUCAGUCGGUUAAGCGUCCGACUUUGGCUCAGGUCAUGAUCUCCUGGUUCAUGAGUUCGAACCCUACGCCGGGCUCUGUGCUGAAGCUCGGAGCCUGGAGCCUGCUUCGGAUUCUGUGUCUCCCUCUCUUUCUGCCCCUCCCCAGCUUGCACUCUGUCAAGAGUGUACUCUCUCUCUCUCUCAAAAAUAAAUAAACAUUAAAACAGAAUUAAAAAAAAAAAAUUGAGGCCCUUAGUGUGGGCCCUAAUUCAAUCUGACUGGUGUCCUUAUAAGAAGAGGUUUGGACACACAAGGAAACACCAGGGACAUCCACACAGAGAAAAGAUCGUUUUAGAACACUCCAAGAAGCUGGCCAUCUGCAAGCCAAGGAGAGGCCUCCGAGGCUGACACCUUGAUCUUGGACUUCCAGCCUCCAGGAACGGUGGGAAAGUAACUACCUGUUGUUUAAGUCACUCGGUCUGUGGUAGUUUGUUGUGGCAUCUGGAUCAAACUGACACAGGACACACGAAUGCGAGCCUCAGGACAGCAGAGAUUCCAUGAUGCUGUUCCCUACCGCUUCCCCACACCUCCUCCUUGACCUGGCACGUGGCAGGAGCUUGGCUUAUAAGUGCUGAGCGAAGGAGUAAAUAAAUGCUACUUUUGUACAAUG